rnacentral:sRNA from 1 species
UUCAAUGAGGAUUGAACUCUUAAGAAAUGGUGUUUUCAUUACCAAUUUGACAAACGAGGAAGACUUUGAUUAUAAUACACCAUUUACACAAGAUUACGAGGUGCCCGUGAAAGUUUUACCAGGAGAUGAGGUAGUCACGAGGUGUGUCUACAACACGGAGUCCUCCAAUGAUUACGUCUACUACGGCGAUGCUACCUCGGAUGAAAUGUGCUACGGCUACCUGACGAUGUAUCCCAAGAGUGCUCUUAGAUCGGCAC